AGUUAGGUCUGUGGUUUCCCAGGCGUCCCGAGUGGGGACGGUCAGAUGACGGGACCGGAGUGAAGGUGGUGGUAGGGCACUUGGGUUUCAGACUUCUUGUAAUUUAAGGGCAGGCGUGCAUCCUCACGCGUGCUCUGCUCCGGGUUUCGCCAAUAAGAGUAUUCUUACCUACUAAAUUACCACUUGAGAGCCGUGUUUCACGUUUUGAGCUAAUAAGCUAUCUUCAAUUUUUUACUAGGGAUUGUAAAUUUUUAUUUUAACAUUUAUGCAUUUUACUAAAUUUUAAGACAACUUUUGGUAUGUUUUUUAAUGUGCUGACUUUGAACUGUAAAUGACAUAAGAUUGAUUGUACAAUGAAACUGGUGUAGAAAAAAUGUGUUUUUGCAGAGAAGAAUUUUAAGGUAGCGUGAUUGUAGGUUAGGCCUGCCAGAUGAGAGCAUACUGUUAAAUGUAGACUGUUGGUCUCUGCAGUGGAGUUUUGUAGACUGCAAGUGGAGACUCUUAGUUGGUCUUGAAAUCAGUUUUGUGGAUUUUUACUGACGCUUUUCAAAAAGUAGGGAAGAAAUAGAAAACAGUACAUUGCACUUCAUAAACAAUUUGGGGGGUUAAAUUUUGUUUUAUAAGUAUUGUUUGGGAUGUAACAUUUUUUUAUUAAGGAUUGUGGUAACAAAGUUUGUAAAAAAACACUUGAGGAGGGUGCAGUAUGUAGAAGAGGUUGGAGGUCUUGGUGUGAGGAGGAAAGAUAAGUGUUAUUACCGUAAGUCCAUGUGUCUUUGCCUUAUUUGGAUUCAUUUAUUCUGUAGUCCAAAUAGCACGUGUGGUUAGAGAGAGACGUGGGGUGGACUGCCUGAGAGGAGCUCAUCUCAAAACCAGACUGAGGACCAGUGCACUGGGUGAUGGAGGGCCAUUGAAGGAUCCUAGGAAAUGGAGAAGCAAGAAGACUUCCUUAGCCAUCUAGUCCGUUCUUCUUCCUGGAACUCCUACCACUUAAUACAUAGUAUUUUUUCAAUUUUUUCAAACUAGGGACUCAAAAUCACCUAGGUAGCUUGUGUGUGUUUAUAAUUUAAUUAUUUUUUGCAAAAUGUGGUAGUUACUAGACAUACAAUGUUAUAUAAUACUAGGUCAGUAUUUUCCAAAGCAGAAUUAAUGAACCUCAUGCAUAUGAGGGUCAAUCAGGGCCCCUUAUACAAGUGCCCUGUACAGGUGUGCCAUUUUCAGUCUUAUAAUACUAUAUUUCUACUGUAACUUUUUGAUGUUUAGAUGCACAAUUACUUAACCAUUGUGUUACAGUUGCCUACAGCAUUCAGUACAGUAACAUGCUGUACAGGUUUAGCCUAGGAGCAAUAGGCUAACAUGUGCAGUAGGCUGUAUAUUAAGGUUUGUGUUUGUGCACUCUGAUGUUCACACAAUGACAAAACUGCUUAACUUCAUUUCUCAUAACACAUCCCCAUUUUAAGUGGCACAUAACUAUAUGGAUAGGCUGUGAUUUGUUUAACAUGUCCCAGUGUUUCGUUUAACACGUCCAAUAUUUUGCUACAUAGACUAUGACAUAAUGAGUAACGGGACAUUGAUCUUUUCUCAUGUGUUAGUA